GUCGAGCGAGGACUUCGGUCCUAGCGGCGGACGGGUGAGUAACGCGUGGGAAUGUGCCCUUCUCUACGGAAUAGUCCCGGGAAACUGGGUUUAAUACCGUAUACGCCCUUCGGGGGAAAGAUUUAUCGGAGAAGGAUCAGCCCGCGUUGGAUUAGGUAGUUGGUGGGGUAAUGGCCUACCAAGCCGACGAUCCAUAGCUGGUUUGAGAGGAUGAUCAGCCACACUGGGACUGAGACACGGCCCAGACUCCUACGGGAGGCAGCAGUGGGGAAUCUUAGACAAUGGGGGAAACCCUGAUCUAGCCAUGCCGCGUGAGUGAAGAAGGCCCUAGGGUCGUAAAGCUCUUUCGCCAGGGAUGAUAAUGACAGUACCUGGUAAAGAAACCCCGGCUAACUCCGUGCCAGCAGCCGCGGUAAUACGGAGGGGGUUAGCGUUGUUCGGAAUUACUGGGCGUAAAGCGCGCGUAGGCGGAUUAGUAAGUCAGAGGUGAAAUCCCAGGGCUCAACCCUGGAACUGCCUUUGAUACUGCUAGUCUUGAGUUCGAGAGAGGUGAGUGGAAUUCCGAGUGUAGAGGUGAAAUUCGUAGAUAUUCGGAGGAACACCAGUGGCGAAGGCGGCUCACUGGCUCGAUACUGACGCUGAGGUGCGAAAGUGUGGGGAGCAAACAGGAUUAGAUACCCUGGUAGUCCACACCGUANACGAUGAAUGCCAGACGUCGGAAAGCUUGCUUUUCGGUGUCACACCUAACGGAUUAAGCAUUCCGCCUGGGGAGUACGGUCGUCAGAUUAANACUCAAAGGAAUUGACGGGGGCCCGCACAAGCGGUGGAGCAUGUGGUUU
rnacentral:rRNA from 1 species